rnacentral:rRNA from 1 species
UACAGAGGCCUCAAGCGUUGUUCGGAUUCAUUGGGCGUAAAGGGUGUGUAGGUGGCGCGCUAAGUCGGGUGUGAAAUUUCGGAGCUUAACUCCGAAACUGCAUUCGAUACUGCGGUGCUUGAGGACUGGAGAGGAGACUGGAAUUUACGGUGUAGCAGUGAAAUGCGUAGAUAUCGUAAGGAAGACCAGUGGCGAAGGCGGGUCUCUGGACAGUUCCUGACGCUGAGGCACGAAGGUCAGGGGAGCAAACGGG